GGUCUCUUGGAAGAGGACGACGAAUUCGAGGAAUUCCCAGCUGAAGAUUGGGGUGCCGCUGAGGAAGAUGCUGAGGAUGUUAAUGUGUGGGAAGAUAACUGGGAUGAUGACAAUAUUGAAGAUGACUUCUCACAGCAACUCAGAGCGGAAUUAAACAUCCAGCCAAUGCAGUAAUAUACACAAGCAAAAUUUAUUUAAAUAUUUUCUUUGUAAUGGUUUGUUUAAAUAAGAAUAUCUUUUUACCCAACUGAUGUCACCUCCCCAUUUGUAAUGAAAUUGCAAAUAAACAGAAUUUAAG